CUAGCUGGGGAGGGAGAGGCCAUAUGAGUGGAGGGACCUGUGGAGGAAAAAUUAUUAUUACUACCUUGAUGUCCGCUGAACCAAAGUGGAUGGAAAUUUCUCAGGACAUAUUCAUCCAAACUACAAAAACAGGUCUACUUAAACUUUGAAAGAUGAGAUUGUUCAAAAAUGACACGAGAAAAUCACCCAUCACCACUAAGUUAAAGACUUGAAUAUGUGAGAGUUCCAGAGCCUCAAACUCCUACUACAGUCACUGAUCCAUAACAUUUUCCUCUUGCAAUGGACUCCACGCCAAAGUAGCUCAGUCUUGCGGCAUGUUUGUGCACCAAAAAGUUUGUAAGUUCUGGCACAGGAUAAAUAGAAGCUGCACCUAUGGCCCUCUCUCAGCCAUAAAAAGGAGUACACACUUACUGAGGGUGUUCAUGAGCUGGUUGCUUCCUUGUGGCCGGCUGGUUCCAUUGGCAACGGCAGGCCUACUGUUGUAGGGCUGCUGGUGUGAAGGCUGCGGAGGAGAGGCUGGGCCAUUGUCCUCGCCUCCACUGCUGGAGCUAUCGUCAUCACUUCCCGAAGAGCUCUCAGAGUCUGAAGAGCUGCUCCCACUGCUGCUGCUCAUUUGUUCAAUAAUGUCAACUUCAGCCCUCAGCUCUGGAAUAAAGGAUAUGACAUGGAUCAGCACAGCAGCCCUUUUCAAGGCAGUGCAUUGGAGCUUCUAUAAAUAGUAAAUCAGCAAAACCAACAGCAAUAAGAAAUAAUUUAAAACAAAGUCCUACUUCUCAAUACCUUAAAAAAUGUACAAACAAAAUUACCAAAACAAAA
ensembl:lncRNA EAF1-AS1 EAF1 antisense RNA 1